AUUGAACGCUGGCGGCAGGCUUAACACAUGCAAGUCGAGCGAGCGGCGGACGGGUGAGUAAUGUAUGGGGACUGCCCGAUAGAGGGGGAUAACUACUGGAAACGGUGGCUAAUACCACAUACUCUCGGAUAACCCAUAUGGGAUUAGCUAGUCGGUGGGGUAAAGGCUCACAUAGGCGACGAUCUCUAGCUGGUCUGAGAGGAUACCCAGCAACACUGGAACUGAGAAACGGCCCAGACGCCUCGGGAGGCAGAAGUGGGGAAGAUUGCACAAUGGGCGCAAGCCUGAUGCAGCCAGGCCGCGUGUUUGAAGAAGGCCUUAGGGUUGUAAAGUACUUUCAGCGGGGAGGCGUUACCCGCAGAAGAAGCAACGGCUAAGAACGUGCCAGCAGCCGCGGUAAUAC
rnacentral:rRNA from 1 species